GUCGUCAUGGGCAAGUUGGACCAAAGGGUCUGUUUCUGUGCUGUACAUCUGUAUGACUCUUAUGACUCCAAUCCAGGUUGAUACUAGUGACAGGUGCAGUUCUGAUUGCUGCAGUCGAAGGCACUUCAAGUGUAUGGAUAUGUUUAAACCAACCAGAUAUGUCACGACACACCUCUAGCAAAGGUAGGAUUAUGAUCUCAGGCUUUCUGGUGUGGAGGAAGGGACACACCAUCUACAUGUACUACUACCGUUCCACAAGAAUCCUCCCAGCCAUUCUAUAAGAUUUUAAACUAAAGCACUGCCUGCCUGUCCAUUCGAUAGUUCUGCAUUCUGGCUGGAAUUAUUCCUGGAUCCUGGGUCUUAUGAUGUUUUAACCAUGUGGUGCAUGAUUGUGAUAUCUUGUCACACGAUUGACUUCUUCGGAUGUUAUUGUAUUUACCUUAAAGCAGUUAAGGUAAAAGCACCAUAAUCCUACUGGACCACAGGGCUGCUCCCUCACUGGAGAGAAGCAUUUAACAUGAGGAUCACCAUGCCUCAGAUGAGGGGAUAGGUUGAGAAGGAGGCAUGUGGCCGGUGUUGGUAUUCCUGUUGCUAUUUCAACCCCUCUCCCCCCACAGGCCUGGGAACAUCAGUUUUAACCUGGUGCAGAGUCUUUUCCCCAUCAGCAACUCCACUGGAGCUAUCCCGGUUGUUGUGUGCGAAAUGGUCCUAUAAUUAAACAGGAACCAGGACAAUUUGGUAUCAGGUGAUGCGGUAGGCUGCUUCUUUAACCCUACCUUCAAUAUUCGGACUGCUCUAUCCACUAGGCCAUGAGACGACAGAUGGUAUGGGAGCUGUCCUAAUGUGCCAAAUGCCAUUGGACCUGAGGAAAUAUUCGAAUUUCCUGCUGGUAAAUAACAUCCCAUUGUUCAUAACCCCUACUUCUGGGAGUCUGUGUAUCGCGAACGAUGCUCGCAGCUUCACAGUCAUCAACUUUUAGUUUGCUGAAUGAACUUUAUGCAUGUUCAACCACUUUGAAUGGCCUUCUACAAUGACCAGGAACAUUGAGCCCAUGAAAGGACCAGCAGUCGAUAUGCAGUCAAGUCCAGGGUUUACUCGUCCGAUCCCACAAUGUGGUGUCAGUUUCUGUGCGUGUUGGUACUCUAGGCCCUGCCCCACCAAUAUAGAUAUGUUGGCAUCCAACCCUGACAACCAGAAUUAGCUUCUUGCUAGCAUUUUCAUCUUGAAAACCCUUGGACGAUCCUAGUAGAAUUCAGCCAGUAUCUGGCGGUGACCUUUACACAGAACAAUCACCACAGUAAUAUUGCCAUCCUGUACGGUGAUCUAGUCUCGCUAGGUCCAGAAAGGUUUCAAACGUGGUUGCGAUAGCCCUUCUGUCUCCCCCAUCACCACCAGCUGCUCUUCUAACUUCAACCUGUAAGCAGCUGUUCCAUUUUUUUAAACUGU